rnacentral:rRNA from 1 species
AUUGAACGCUGGCGGCAUGCCUUACACAUGCAAGUCGAACGGGAACGGGCCUUCGGGUGCCGACGAGUGGCGCACGGGUGAGUAAUACAUCGGAACGUGCCCGAUCGUGGGGGAUAACGAGGCGAAAGCUUUGCUAAUACCGCAUACGAUCUACGGAUGAAAGCAGGGGACCGCAAGGCCUUGCGCGGACGGAGCGGCCGAUGGCAGAUUAGGUAGUUGGUGGGAUAAAAGCUUACCAAGCCGACGAUCUGUAGCUGGUCUGAGAGGAUGAUCAGCCACACUGGGACUGAGACACGGCCCAGACUCCUACGGGAGGCAGCAGUGGGGAAUUUUGGACAAUGGGCGCAAGCCUGAUCCAGCCAUGCCGCGUGCAGGAUGAAGGCCUUCGGGUUGUAAACUGCUUUUGUACGGAACGAAAAGCCUUCUUUUAAUACAGGAGGGUCAUGACGGUACCGUAAGAAUAAGCACCGGCUAACUACGUG